rnacentral:rRNA from 1 species
CCUACGGGGGGCAGCAGCUAAGAAUAUUCCGCAAUGGACGAAAGUCUGACGGAGCGACGCCGCGUGGAUGAAGAAGGCCGAAAGGUUGUAAAAUCCUUUUGCCGAUGAAGAAUAAGUGUGGUAGGGAAUGACCGCAUGAUGACAUUAGUCGGUGAAUAAGCCCCGGCUAACUACGUGCCAGCAGCCGCGGUAACACGUAGGGGGCGAGCGUUGUUCGGAAUUAUUGGGCGUAAAGGGCAUGUAGGCGGUUUUGUAAGCCUGGUGUGAAAUCCUGC